UACGGGGGGGGCAAGCGUUGUUCGGAAUUACUGGGCGUAAAGGGCUCGUAGGCGGUGCCGUAAGUCGGAUGUGAAAUCUCUCGGCCUAACCGAGGAACUGCGUCCGAUACUGCGGUGCUUGAGGAUCAGAGGGGUGCAUGGAAUUUCCGGUGGAGCGGUGAAAUGCGUUGAUAUCGGAAGGAACUCCGGCGGCGAAAGCGAUGCACUGGCUGAUUUCUGACGCUGAGGUGCGAAAGCCAGGGGAGCAAACGGG
rnacentral:rRNA from 1 species